rnacentral:rRNA from 1 species
GGCUUGUUGAUAAUAAUUUCAGGUCUUACCUGCCCACUGAUUUAUUAAAUGGCCGCGGUAUCUUGACCGUGCAAAGGUAGCAUAGUCAAUAGUUUUUUAAUUGAAAGCUGGAAUGAAAGGUUUGAUGAGAAAAUAGCUGUCUCUAUAAGAUUUAAUUAGAAUUUUAUUUUUAAGUUAAAAAGCUUAAAUUUUCAUAGAAGACGAGAAGACCCUGUAGAGUUUUAUAGAUAUAUUUAUUAUUUGGGUUUAUAGGUUUAUGAAACUAUAUAAUUUUUAAUAUAUUUAUUUUGUUGGGGUGACAGGAAAAUUUGUUAAACUUUUCUUAUAUAGAAAUAUUUAUUUGUAUACGUAUGAUCCUAUUAUAUAGAUUAAAAAAUUAAAUUACCUCAGGGAUAACAGCGUAAUUUUUUUUAGAGUUCUUAUCGAAAAGAAAGAUUGCGACCUCGAUGUUGGAUUAAAAUUUAUAGCUGGUGUAGAAGCUAGUUUAUUAGGUCUGUUCGACCUUUAAAAUUUUACAUGAUCUGAGUUUAAACCGGUGUGAG